GUGAUUAUAUCAGCAACACAUAUACAAAAAUUGGAAAGAUACAGAGAAGAUUAGUGUGACCCCUGCACAAGGUUGACAUGUAAAUUUGUGGUUUUUUGUAUUUUU